UGUUCACGAUGUUGAGUUUGUCACUGAGAGAAAAAGGAGGCGGGCUGCAUCGUGGGAGAGAGAGAGAGAGGGAAAAGUAAAGAUAUUGGGUGCACGCGCUCGGGCGCUCCCACUAAAGAAGCCGGUACGCUCUCUGGUCUUCGGAGAAAUCAAUAGCUUCCCUUCUCCUUCUGACCCAACAGGCAACAGCACGCUCAUGACGACGAUGACAUUGAUAACGACAAGAUUGCUCUAGAUGUCAAUGAUGUUGUUCUUUCCCAUCACAAUCAAAAAAGGUAGGAGAAGGAGGACAAAAUCACUGCAUCAAAGACUACACUACAACAUGUACAGACUUUCCACCAUAGCCAGAGACAUGGGCGUGGGCUUGUACUCCCCACCCUCACCUCUCUCUCUCACACACCUACGAUCCUUUAUUACGCUUUCCAAAUGUCUUUUCAAACUAGCAUUUCCGCUGGUAAGUUGAAUUUAGUCACAGGUGGUCGAAUAGACACCACAAAUGGCUUUUCUCGGUCUCUGGCAGAAAUGCGUUAGACCCUUUUCAAAACCAAGCAAAACCCAUCUCCGGAUUCCGGGGAUAGGCGAGUUUCGGCUUCUAUCUGGCUUGUUAAUGCUGGCUGUUUGUGUUCAACUUUUUCUGUCUUCCUUCCUUGUGGAUAUAUAGAAUAUAUCUACGCAUUGAGCAUUUGAAAAUAUAUAUUCAUUCAAGAAGAAGAAGAAGCAAUUGGACAAGCAGAACUUCAACGUGACAGUCCCAUGCAUCUACGUUUUCAGUCUUUCGACCAUCCAAUCAAAGCAAGUAUGAUGGCAAUUAUGUUGCCACUGAUUAGGGGCUUCAAUAGUUUUUGCUUUUCAGGCGUGUAUGGAGGGUACCUUACAGAUGCAUCUCCAUCAAAGCUUCUGUAUAGAACUGCCUUCUUAUGGCUAAAAGCAUCAAAAGAAAACUUCCCAUGGUAUGAGCCCAUUCCACUCUCCCCAACUCCACCAAAAGGUAAACCAUCAACUACAACCUGCAUUGUGAAGUUCAUAAGAUGUCAAUGAAAAAUUGAUCAAUUAGACACAGGCAACUGUAAAAUGUGAGUCCGAAUUUCAGAACCGUUUGUACUAAUAGCUGUAUCUGCUUAUAUGUGGAGUAAAAUUAUGCUAAUACACAAACUCUGGACCCUUUGAAGGCAACUCUAAAGUUAGAUCACAAUAAUAUUUCAUGCAUUUUUAUGGUCUGCUUGCACACCAAUGUUUCCUGUGAAUAAGCAAAAUUUUGGGAGUAGAAGAUGUGACACUUUGAUCCUACUCUUUAAAUUGUGAAAGUCUAAUUCAAUACUGUGCACCUCAUCUGUAUCUGUUAUUUUGUUUCAAGUCUACAAGUGGAGCAAUUUAAAUUUAUAUUCAAUGCUUUGGUCUGCACAGAGCAUAAGAUACAAAGAUUUGUUAAAAGUAAAUCCACAACUUUCAUCAAUUUAUUGUGUUCCUCAAAUUUACUAAUCUGCUCUCACACUGAAGAACUAAAUUAGCAUAGAGCUUAUUUCUGCAGAAUUUUGUUCACUAAUAUUAAUGAUCUCAAAAUUAUGGAUAUAACUAUCGGCCAAUCAUCAUAAAGCUUAAAACUGUUUCAUAGAUGCCAAUCAUACAGAUCUGACUAUAAUGAUGAUGAUAUUUUGGUUUGUAUUGAUGUCGGAAUCCAACCAUGACUGUAUAUAUGAAAUAAGAUCACGCUGGAAUAGAUGUGGCUAAUCUAUAAAUUUCAGGACGAGAAUAAUCACAUGUAUGAUGGUAUCAUUGAUGAGCAUGCCCCCAGAAGAAAUAUUUUGCACAAAAGCCUUCUUCAGCUGCUCAUCAUUAGUGAAGAGAUAUGCAGCAAGGGGCUUUGGUUUUGAGUUUAUCACUUCAAUGCUGUCUUCCAAGUUCUCAACCUGUUGACACCAGGAGUAAUACUUUUACAGGAAGAAGAGUUGAGGGAACGUGACCAUUUUGACACACGAAGCAAUGGUGUCACCACCAUUAACUCUGUGUGUGUGUGUGUGUGUGUAGAAAGAGAGAGCAUUGAGGUGUCUAAAAAUUUAGGAGAUGAAUGGAGAGAAAUAGUGAAUUUACUUCCUUCAUCAAUCUAGAGCACUUUCUCCAUGACCAUAUCACUAGGAACAAGCCUCAGAGGAAGAUGUACUUAAUAUAACUAUAGUACUCACAGUGAGAAUGGGCACUAAAGGCCCAAAUAUCUCCUCCUGCAUUAUCAGUGCGUCGUCUGGCACAUCCAACAAUAUGGUUGGAGCUAUCUUUCUGAAAUAAAUUUAAGGACAACUGAUGUAAGAUGGUUCAUAUAACAUACUUAAGCCUCAGCAAGCUAAAUCGACUACUCACAAUUGUUUCUCAUCCCUUUGACCUCCAAAGACAACUUUAUUGGAUACCUUAUCCUCAUCCAAGAGCUUUACCAGACGAGCAAAGUGAAAGGAGCUCACAAUGCGGGAAAUAUCUUUUGAUUUCAGUGGAUCUUUCCCAAAAAACUUCUCCAGUUCAAUCCUUAAAGAAUGUAUCUGUAGCGUAGGCAUGUAUCAAGAAAUAUACCAUUGAAGCGUGGCGUUUCUAAGUUUUGUCUUCACAGAGACAACCUUACCAAAUUUGGAGCGAACUCUUUUGUUGUUAUAAUAUAGUCAACACCGGUACAAGCUUGCCCAUUAUUGCAUGCCCACUUGCCAGCAAUUAUCCUCCUAACAGCAACCUUAGGUUCGUAGAAGUUUAAUCCGUCAUAGAAACUAAGAUGGAAAACAUAAUUCAAGCUCCAGGAGAAACACUUACUUGUAAGUUAGAGUUUGAAUCAACAACAGCUGGGCACUUCCCUCCAAGUUCCAGAGUUACUGGUGUAAGGUGUACUGCAGCAGCAGCCAUCACAAUGCGACCUACUAUUGCACUACCUGUAGAAAUCUCAGCAAUUACUUCACAAGAGACUUAAUAACUAAGGAGAAUGUUUUACUACUUUGAUAUCUCCAAACUGCAUCAAGGGCUGCACCGCUGAACUAUAAUCAACAGUGCCUCCUCCAAGAUGUAACUAUGGCAAGGGAGUUCUCCUGCAACUUCUGUUUGUUGAUACAAAUAUCUACGAUUCAAGAUCUUCGGAUGUCAGAAGAAAUUAUGUAAGCCGAUAAAAUGCUAAAAAAAAACCUGUGUACAGAAUCCCGUCCCACUUCUGAUCAAGUAGUGCAGUUGUUUCAUCGAUGGCCCCUUCAACAACUUUUAUGGCAGAAUUGUCAAGAUAUUCCUCCACAAAAUUUGAGAGCAGCAACGAUGUAGCAGGAGCAAUUUCUGACGGUUUUAGGACUACAGCAUUGCCAGCUGAAAUAGCUCCGAUUACCGGAUCAAGGGAUAACA